UAAACAUGGAAAGCAGUUAUUUUGGUUUAUUAAAGGAAUUGAGAGGGAAAAGCUAAUGAAGACUUAGAAGAGUUUGCAAUAGACUUGAGAGCGCUAGAGGCGGGAAAGAAAAUUAGGUGAUAAAAUUGACAUAUGUUCUUCAUAGAUUUUUUGAACGUUUUUAAAAAGAAUAAAUGAUUGAUAGUAUACCUAAGAGAAAAUUAUAGUUAGUUUUUUAUCUGAGGAGAAGAAAUACCUUGAGGAAGUGGUAGCAAGCAGUUGGUAUCAAUUUAGAUGGGAAUUGAGAUAACAGGACAUUGAGGAAGGAAUGGAUGUUUAAAGUGUUAAGGAAUUACUGCCAAGAAUUGCCCUCCAGCCCUUUGAGUAGUACCUAUGACCUAACCAGCCCUUGAAGAUAUAACCAUUGGAAUGCUGUCCCAUUAAUUUUGCCACUUCCUAGCCUCUUGCUAUCUUUUUUGGGACACUAAAAUCUCAUUUGCCUCCCACACCCACCUUCCAUUAGAAUGUAAACACCAUGAAGUUAAGAAUUUCUCUCUUUUUUUACAGCUGACUCCUCAGUGCCCAGAAUAAUGUUUAGUAACUCUAGAUCUAAACAGUGUCUUGAAGUAUAGGCUCUUAACUUGAUGUUUAGGAUCAAUAAAUGAAAAUCAAAUAAUACUAAAUUUAGCAGGGACCUCAGAGGUCAUGCAGCCCACUAUUUCUUUACUACCUGUCUGUGGAUCUUUAAGGAAGAUUUUUUUAUUACUCUGAGUCUUAUCUCAAUGUUCAGAAUGACAGUUGGAUUUAAUGCUUUUAUCCUCCCUUGCCUUCUCCAUUUCUCUCAUGUUUGGGAUCCAAAGUAUAUAAUUACACUAGUUUUUCAGCAUAACAUUACUGAUCUGGUCCAGUCCCCUACCUGAUGCAGAAGUCACUUAUGUGGCAUAUGGUUCUGUGGGACUCUUCUAAGAAUAAAGCACACACUGGGGGGGGGGGGUGUGAGAGAGAGAGUGUGUGUGUGUGUUUGUGUGAUCCAACAAAUAAACAGUUAUGUUGUGCUAGGCUAUGGAGGUAAUGUGAUAAAAGAUAAUUUCCCUACCCUCACAGGGCUUACAGUCUGGUAGAAUUUUACAAAGUCUCUAAACGCUUUCCCUGUCCUCUCUUUAUUCUCAAAGCUCUUUGGAAAGAAAAGGCAGACUAAUGGGAAGAAAUAAAAAAAAACAGCGGGGUUUAACUUCCAAUGAAUGAUAUUAAGGUCAAAUAUUCACUUUUUAGUUUUCAGGGCCUUCCAAUUCAAUUCAUUUCAUUCAGUGAGCACCUACUGAGCAUCUUGAGGCCUUGGCUAGAUUCUGAGGAAUGAAAGCAAAGAUAAAGCCCCUAGUCACAAGGGGGAACGUGCAAAUGUAUAAAUACUCUUCAGUGUGCUAAGUGCUACAUGUUAACUUUUCUGAGUGAUCAGUUCCAUUGGAGAGCCCUAGCUAAUAUAAAAUCCUUUUUCUUUUUUCUUUUUGGCUGCACCCUCGGCAUUUGGAAGUUCCUGGGCCAAGAUUCAAACCCAUGCCACAGCAGGAACACAAGCCACUGCAGUGAUAAUGCUGAAUCCUUAACCGACUGCACCACAAGACAACUCCCAAAUCUGCCUCUUUUAAAAUUUCUGUUAGUUGAUCCCAGUUUUGUCCUCUGAGCUCAUCAUGUAUUUAUUUGACCCAUAAACAUUUAUUGGGGAACUGCAAGUGCCAUAAUAUGCCAAGUUCUCUUCAUAGACAAAUAGGACAUGACCUUUACCCUCAAGAAGGUUAGGACAUAAUUCUGCAACAUCGAGCAAGUUGUUUAAGCUGAGUUCAGUUUCUAUCCCUAGGAAUUGAGGGUAGUAUUUAUACCUACUCCUUGGGAUUAUUGUGAGGAUUAAAUGAAUAAUGCUUUGGAUGCUCUUAUUACAGAGCCUGGUACACAGCUUUUGACAAAUGUGAGCUAUUGUUUUCCUACAUUUAAAGAGGGAUCCCAAUAAGCAAAUUAGCAGUUGCAGUGUUGAUAUGAAUGAAGUAAACACAGAGUGCUAUGGGAAUAUACCAGAGGAACACCUAAUCUUGGCUAGAGAGGCUAGGGAACAUGCUGUAGGAGGAGACAUCUGAGCUCCGCAUUGCAGGACUGAAUAGUGGGAAUGCAAAGGGUACCAGGAAAGAGGCAAGGGAAAGAGACAGGACAGCAUGGUGCAUUCAGGUUAAGUCAGUUGUUUAAGCUGGUCAGAAGACUAUUUCAAGUGAGAAUUAGGACGUAGUGACCAAUUAAAUAUAGCUGAGCCGGAGAAAAGGAAGAGAUGGUAUCAAAGGUAAUUUUUUUUUUUAAUGUUUUGUUUGGCUGCACUCAGGGAAUAUGAAAAACCCUAUCAGGGAUCGAACCUGUGCCACAGAAGUGACACCAACAGCUCCUUAACCACUAGGCCACCAGGGAACUCCCAAAGAUAAUUCUUUUCUCUUUUUUCUUUUUCAGUCUUUUUAGGGCUGCGCCUGCAGCAUAUGGAAGUUCCCAGGCUAGAGGUCAAAAUACAGCCUACACCACAGCCAUAGCAACACCAGAUCUGAGCCAUGUCUGCAGACUACACCAGAGCUCAUGGCAAUGCCAGAUCCUUAACCCACUGAGCAAAGCCAGGGAUGGAACCAGAGUCCUCAUGGACACUAGUCGGGUUCCUUACCGCUGAGCCACGAUGGGAAAUCCUUGACUUCCUUUUUAUGUCCACAGGGAAGAAUCUGGAGAAAGGGAGGGUUGAAGAUAUAGAAUAGGAUGUAAGUAGAUAAUAAAAAAGGAUUCCUGAGAGGGCAGAGGAGGUGACAUCCUGUGGAGGAAAAAAUGUCUUAAAUAGGAGGAAGGACAGCUCUUCUACCAGCUAGAGCUGUGUGGACACAGGCACAUCAAAAAGAGAGAGUGAACCUGAAUUAUUUGAUGAUGUUUCUGAGACCAAGUCAUCUUUUAAGAGUUGACAAGGGGAGAAGGGGCAGGGCUGGGGUGCAGGAGCUUGAAAAGUUCUAUUGAAAAGAGGAGACACCUAGAAAGCAUGGGAAAUGGCAGCAUUGCCUUUUGUGUCUCUAUGCUUUGUCAGUGUCUCCCUGUAGUAACUGAGGCACCCACAAGGAUCUGUACCAGCACAGUGUAAGGUGAGACUGCUGUCUCCCUUCAACUGUCAGUUCCCUUGUUUAGAAUCUUAAUCUUUUACUAAUGUAGCCUCUGAUUGCAUGAGCUAUUUUUUAAAAUAGCUCUUUCAUACUGAAAGACCAAGAAAAAGCAUUUCUCCAGCAGCCAGAGUCAGAGGAAAAAAAAUUCUCUUGGUCAUGCCGGUGGCAUGUGGAAUUUCCCGAGCCAGGGAUCACACUGUGCCAGAGCAGUGACCAGAGCUACUACAAUGACAACUAAUCCUUAACCCUCUGCACCACAAGGGAACUCCCAGAGGAAAAUUUGAGUCAGUAAUGAUUACUGUUCAAAAGAAUGUGCUACUUAAAUAAAAUUUAAAAAUAAUUCAGAAAUUGUUCAAACUUAAAUAAAAACCCUUCUAAAUAUUUUCAACAUAGUAAGAGACACAAGCAAGAAUUAGUUGAAAAAUGAAGGUCUGGCAAAUGCUUAAAAAUGUCUAUGUAAUUCUGAGUGCAGAUGGCAUUCAAAUAAGCAUACUAUAUGGAUAUGCCAUUAUUGCCAGCUGUCAUUCACUUAGUUGGAAACUAGAUUAAACCUAUGGGUGGAUUUUGUUUUCCAAAAUAUUGUUUUAAAAUGUAUUCUUCACUAAUCAUUCUCUCUUAGUCUACACCUGGCUACUUGAUGAUCUUAUGUUAAUUUGCUCACUGCUGAAGCCAUUUGAGUUUACUCCUGCUCCACCAUGCUCUAAUAUGACCAGUCAACUAGAUCAACUGAAAGUUAUAAGCAACCAUAUUAUGUUAACCUCAGAGCUGCUUUCACUGAAUUACUAUUUUGUGUGCAAUCACUGGCUUUUAUUGAGGAAUGCAAUUUAAAAAAUCUUCAUAAUACAUGUAGUGGUAAAAAAACAUAUUUCAAAAAGAUACAUGCACCCCAAUAUUCACUGCAUCACUAUUUUCAAUAGCUAAGACAUGGAAACAACCUAAAUGUCCAUCAAGAGAUGAAUAGAUAAAGAAGGUGUGGUAUAUAGAUAUAAUGGAAUAUUACUCAGCCAUAAAAAGAACAAAAUAAUGGCAUUUGCAGCAACAUGGAGGGACCAAGAGGUUUUCAUACUGAAUGAAAAUAAUACAAAAAAAAUUUAUAAAACAGAAACAAACUGAGAUUUCAAAACUAAUCUUUUGGUUACCAUAUGGGAAACCAUAGAAGGGAGAGAGGAAGUGAGAGGAUGGGAUUAACAUAUACACACUAAUGUAUAAAAUAGAUAAUAAGAACCUACCAUAUAGCACAGGGAAAUCUCAAUAGUUUUUAAUAACCUAUAUGUUAUUACAUAUAAAAAGAAUGGAUAUAUGUAUAACUGAUUUACUCUGGUGUACACCUGAAAUGAAUACAACAUGGUAAGUCAACUACAUUCCAAUAAAAAUUUUUUAAAAACCAUGUAGUGGUGAUUACUGUAAGUGGGAUGAGUGUACAUUUUGAUUUUGUGGGGAGAGUUCCAGUUUACACUUAUUGUCCCAGCAUAAUAUUUAAUAGUUCCCCUUUCACGCUCAAGAAAUACUGCAGUUAUAUGAUCUCAGUGUUGUUCUUUUCAUUAUACAAUGCCCUUUCUAUGAAGUUUUUUGAGUAACUUUUGAUCCUUUUGAUGGAAAUCAGUCAUAGUUGUGCUUCUUAGCAGUUGGAUUGUUUUUUUAUUAUUUACACAUGGUGACUCAUAACUACUCAAGCAGCCCUUUUAAAGUUGACCUUAGAAAGUUUAGGGUCAAAUUUGCCACCUGCCUCAGAAGCGGCUCAAUGGUAUACCUUUUAAUUUUAGUCUCAUUCCUUUGUUUUUCCUUUUUGUUUCUUCUUGUUUCUUACCCCCUUACCUAUUUCUAAUUUAUAUGUUGGAUUUUAUACAUCUUUGUCAGCUAUCCUAAAUUCUUUUUGAUAGGUGGUAGUGAAUAAAGAAACACAAAACAAACAAAUAUAUUGCUUCUGGAACUUACCUAAUAUUCUUGAAUGACUGGGAAACAGCUCUUUCUUACCUUGAGUGUUUAAGGCUUCCGAUUUUUGUCUAUUUCUUUGAUCCAUGAUGUUUUGAAGAGAUUGCCAGAUGUUGAUCAAAUUUGAUACACUUUUAAGAAAUGAAGAUACUGUACUUCCAAGUUGAUCUCUGAUCAGUUAGCCACCUGAAAGCAAAGUAUAGCUGAUAACAUUUUUCAAGUGUUUCCAUCUUCUAUGAUUGCAGAUCUUGGAUAGAAAGGCAAUCCAGCUUAGUGGGGGAAAAAAAGCACACAAAAAUUUAUUAUCAGACAAACCCUAUUAUUUGCCUUCUCAAAAUCUCAGGUUUUUUACCUGUAGCUUAGAGAUAAUAUUACCUAAUUCCUAGGGUAAAUGAGGCAACAUAUAUACAGUGCCUGGCAAAUAGUUCGAUACACAGUAAAUUUUGCUUACCAUCAUUUUUGUUAUCUUCACAACUUUCAAAUCACUAGGGAUUUUACACUUAGUAAGAAUCUUGAGGAUUUUUUUCUUUUUCUUUUUCUUUUCCUUUUUAGGGCCAUACCUGCAGCAUAUGGGAGUUCCCAGGCUAGGGGUGGAAUCGGAGCUGCUGCUACUGGCAUACACCGCAGCCACAGCAACACCAGAUCCUAGGCACAUCUGCAUUCUACACCACAGCUCAUGGCAAUGCUGGAUCUUUAGCCCACUGAGCAAGGCCAGGGACUGAACCUGCAUCCUCAUAGAUACUAGUGGGAUUCUUAACCUGCUGAGCCACAGUGGGAACUCUGGGUUUUGUUUUUUUUUUCUUUUGUAACCAAAAAUGUUUUGAAAGUUACACUUUUUAAGACUUAUUUACUGGCAGCCCAACAAGCCAGAUAUUUUUGAAAAGUCUCUCCCAUAGCUGAACACCUAGACACUGGCAUAUAUAUACAUAAAUAUAGUUUUAAAUGCAUUGUGGAGCUUUCAAGAAAGUAAGGAAAAUCUGGAGUUCCCACUGUGGGCAACAGGUUACUUGUCUGGUGUUGGCUCUGCAGCACCUCAGGUUUGACCCCUGGCCUGGCAUAGUGGGUUAAGGCUCUGGCAUUGCCACGGUUGUUGUGUGGGUCGCAGCUGUGGUUCAGAUUCAUUCCCUAGCCCAGGAACAAACAUAUACCAUGGGUGUGGCCAAAAAAAGAAGAAAAAAAAAGGCAAGGAAAAUCCUCAAGCUUUCUAUCCACUCUCAACAAAAAUAAAACAGCAAGCUGAAAGCAGAGAGAUAACUAAAUGAGGAACUGUGGGAGUUCUCCUGUGGUACAGCAGGUUAAGUCUCAGGCAUUAUCCCUGCAGUGGCUCAGGUUGCUGCUGUGGCAUGGGAAUUUUUCCAUAUGCUGCAGGUAUG
rnacentral:lncRNA from 1 species